AGACCCGAAACCCGGUGAUCUAGCCAUGGGCAGGUUGAAGGUUGGGUAACACUAACUGGAGGACCGAACCGACUAAUGUUGAAAAAUUAGCGGAUGACCUGUGGCUGGGGGUGAAAGGCCAAUCAAACCGGGAGAUAGCUGGUUCUCCCCGAAAGCUAUUUAGGUAGCGCCUCGUGAAUUCAUCUCCGGGGGUAGAGCACUGUUUCGGCUAGGGGGCCAUCCCGGCUUACCAACCCGAUGCAAACUGCGAAUACCGGAGAAUGUUAUCACGGGAGACACACGGCGGGUGCUAACGUCCGUCGUGAAGAGGGAAACAACCCAGACCGCCAGCUAAGGUCCCAAAGUCAUGGUUAAGUGGGAAACGAUGUGGGAAGGCCCAGACAGCCAGGAUGUUGGCUUAGAAGCAGCCAUCAUUUAAAGAAAGCGUAAUAGCUCACUGGUCGAGUCGGCCUGCGCGGAAGAUGUAACGGGGCUAAACCAUGCACCGAAGCUGCGGCAGCGACACUGUGUGUUGUUGGGUAGGGGAGCGUUCUGUAAGCCUGCGAAGGUGGCCUGUGAGGGUUGCUGGAGGUAUCAGAAGUGCGAAUGCUGACAUAAGUAACGAUAAAGCGGGUGAAAAGCCCGCUCGCCGGAAGACCAAGGGUUCCUGUCCAACGUUAAUCGGGGCAGGGUGAGUCGACCCCUAAGGCGAGGCCGAAAGGCGUAGUCGAUGGGAAACGGGUUAAUAUUCCCGUACUUGGUGUUACUGCGAAGGGGGGACGGAGAAGGCUAUGUUGGCCGGGCGACGGUUGUCCCGGUUUAAGCGUGUAGGUGUGUGUUCCAGGUAAAUCCGGUUCACUUUAACACUGAGGCGUGACGACGAGGCACUACGGUGCUGAAGCAACAAAUGCCCUGCUUCCAGGAAAAGCCUCUAAGCAUCAGGUAACAUCAAAUCGUACCCCAAACCGACACAGGUGGUCAGGUAGAGAAUACCAAGGCGCUUGAGAGAACUCGGGUGAAGGAACUAGGCAAAAUGGUGCCGUAA
rnacentral:rRNA from 1 species